AGUGAACGCUGGCGGCGUGCCUAAUACAUGCAAGUCGAACGGACAAGUAAGAGCUUGCUCUUAUGAGUUAGUGGCGCACGGGUGAGUAAUGUAUAGCUAAUCUGCCCUACACUAGAGGACAACAGUUGGAAACGACUGCUAAUACUCUAUACUCCUGUCUUACAUAAGUUAGAUAGGGAAAGUUUUUCGGUGUAGGAUGAGGCUAUAUUGUAUCAGCUAGUUGGUGAGGUAAUGGCUCACCAAGGCUAUGACGCAUAACUGGUCUGAGAGGAUGAUCAGUCACACUGGAACUGAGACACGGUCCAGACUCCUACGGGAGGCAGCAGUAGGGAAUAUUGCUCAAUGGGGGAAACCCUGAAGCAGCAACGCCGCGUGGAGGAUGACACUUUUCGGAGCGUAAACUCCUUUUGU
rnacentral:rRNA from 1 species